UUUGCUGAACUUCAGUAUGUUAAGAGAGGCACCACGGAGAACUUUUCCUGGGGUUGCUGGUGAGCUGAAUUCCUUCUGCUGACUCCUGCUGUUUCAACUGAGGCCUGGCUGUUCCUGCUAGGUCAUGCCACCACUGCUGCUAUCCCAAUACUACUGAACUGGACUGCUGCGGGUGUAUCUGUGAAGUGUUUACAAGUAGAUCGAGCUGCCACUGCUGACCUGUGAACUGAACUGCUGAUUCUCUGACAACGGGGAUGGAAUUUGCUCCAAAGAACCAUUUCCAGGAAGAGGCUGCUUGGCUAAAAGUCUUUCUGGUCAAGGUACAAGGGAAGAACGGCUGCCAAUCAGGGAGUCAGAUUAGAUGGCUCUGGCGACCGAGACUGUAGUUUACUUAAAGGUUGUGACCUGAAAAGAAGCCUAAGGACGUUUCUACUUUUGCUCAUAAAUGAAGAAAGAGGUUUGUUUUGUGUGUGUUUCUGUGAGCUAUUUGAAGCCAGUAAUUUAAGAGUGUCCACCUCUGUGGGUUGUGUAGAUGAGGGCCAGAAUCAGGGACUGUACUGUAGUACUAAACCCCAUCAAAGUGGCCUGUUACAGGGCUGCAGAGAUGGUACA
rnacentral:lncRNA from 1 species